CCGCAGCGCUCCCCGUGACUGAAGCCUCGGUGCUAGCGUUAGCCGGCCUGUUCGUAUAACAGCGUGAGGAAUUCCUACGGUGCUGUUUCACAGGGAGGCGAGUGUUUCACGGAAGCAGCCCGAGCCCAGACUCUCAGCCAAGCUUAUAUUUAGGUGCCGUGGGGAGGGGGAAUGUGCUGGAAAUAAUCCCCGGGAACGAGACUCCAUAAGGUCGCCCUGCAGGAGUUCUUGAUGUUUGAGUAGGUCGGAAGAUCCAAACAUCGGUGGCUGCUGUGUGCAAACCCCGGCCUGACUCGAGGCGCAGAGACGCAUACUCUGCACGAAUUACGCCGCCCCGGUGGCAGAAGGCUAGCCAAGUUUCAUGGCAGACCAUGUAAUCAAUCAAUUUAUUUAUUGUGCUCCUUGUAUAGGCAGAACCUCGAGCGAUGCUUGAUAUCUGUCACACUCACACUACAGGCUUCCAUUGUUUAUACAAGCGGAGAUACGAAACCUCCCGUAACAUUAGACCGAUGCUUGCGAGACGGGGAACAGGCCGCCUCAGAGAGGCAGGUGUGCGAUGGGCCUCUUUCUACAUUUUAAAUGAGACUUUACCGGAGAGAUGCGGGAUUCAAAGAGAAUUCCGAAGUCUUUCCUUCCCGCCUGCCUUGCUUUUCACACUCCUGACCUGAGCACCCCGCUCACUCGCCGGCCGCUGUUCUCCUCACGCAGAGGACGCCUGAAACGCAGGUUCCAGUGUGAGCCGGAUGGCGACACCAACUUUGGGCGUAAAAUGAAUUUCGGCGCGUCGCCAUUGUGCCUCUGUGCUCCUCUUUACGUAACUCUGAUGGAUGACUUUGUUUUUAACAAUCCCAUCAUUAAAAAAAAACAAGAUUUCAAAUAUAUUUUAGUGAACAGGGAUAGUCUUGCAUGCGUUGAGUGUUUGGUAAUAAAACCACCGUUUUGAUGGCAUGCGGUCUGAAGACCACGACACGUUCUCUGUAUUUCUCUCUUACAAUUAUCCAAAACAACUUACAGCAGAGGAAAAGGUUAUAGGCUUUCUGUGCUCUCUGGGAUUUGAACCCAUGACCAUCACGGUGCAAUGCCCCACUUGUGGUUCCUCCCCGCUCCCCACUGCUCAGGCCUCUGUGCUGAGAUGCCACCAGCCCCACGUUCAAAAUUAUGUAACACAUGAAGACUGUGGGUGGACAGAAGUGCAGUACAGCCAAUAAUUAAAGUUGAAAGACAACAAUUUUGGCAAGAUCUAAAUGUAUUUAAAGCUGCUGGUCACAUACUGUGCUCUUCAAGACAAAGACUUGAAUCCACACGUACUCAUUAUUUCUCAUAAUCUCCGCACGGUUAUUUUGUCAUAAACAAGGUCAUCGACGUUCAAAGAAAAUGGCAUCGGCUGGUAUGAACCCGCCUAGCACACUGCGUGCUCUAAUGGCAGUAAAUGGAGCUCGUCUUAAUGCAUCUUGCGGUCUGGAAGUAAACAUAAAAACACCUGAGUGAUAAAUCACUACAGUGACCCUGUUUUGCAGCUUCAAGAGCCACAUUAUAUGAGGAGGGUCGACGUCGCAAUCAAAGAUACAUUAAUUCUCAUAUGAGGCAGGAGAAAGACAGAGAGAGUGAGAGAGUCCGCGUGACUUGCACUUCUCUUCUGUCAGUAGAAUAAUAACAGGAAGUGAUAAUGACCCAGAAGGCUUAGCACCAUAUGCCUGGUGCCUCUGUUGCCACGUAGGGGUUCAGCUUUUUCGACGUAUGUAAGAAUUUAAUGAGCACCUGUGUUAGCUAGCCAAGCGGCCUUGGAUGGUGGCGGUGCAAAAACAAGAAGCAUAGAUCUGUCUUCGAGGAGGGUUCGGCAGGAUUGUCUGUCCUUCCUGUGGAACAGUCAGGGCAGCAUAACAUCUCCAGGGCCACCGGCGUAGAUCCAAGGCAGGAAACGGAGACGUGUGUUUUUGUUACUUCACUUUUUUUUUUCCUCAGAAGGGGCCUGCAGAUUGAAACGCAAAGAUGGAGAAAGCGAGCGAAGUCUCACGGCGCCGGAGGCCUGUCCGCCCGCUACUGUCUCAUUGUCAGGCUGGCGUCCGCCGAUUCUAUCACCGGGCUUCGGGGAGUCUGGAGCCCAGCACAGGACACCCUGGACGGGCUACCGGGGCGUGCGAUCUGCACAGUGCAGAGACGGAAGUUCACUUAAUCGGUUGGAGGAAACUGGAAUACGAGGAGGAGACGCGCACAGAUGUGGAGAGGAACUCGGGCCGCCAUGGAAACAGGAAACAAACGGCCAACCCCUGCAUGCAUGAGGCUUUGACGCUUCCCUCCGAGCCACUGCGGUGCCUGGCCUCAUUUAUAAAUCACAAAUUAACCAGCGAAACAAGUCAUAUUAUGCUCUGAUGGAAUGUUAUUUAUAUAAGCCGGGAGUAUUCUUUGGCCAGUGUUUUUCCACAGAUUCAUUAUCUAGAUUUUUUCUCAGAUUUUUGACUUAUUUGGUAAUAAGUCAUUAUUUGUACUUCAAUCGGUCAACCUACUGCCAGGGUACGACGACGGGGGCUAAUAAUGUUUUUCUGGUUUGUGGUGCACCUCCCACACGCGCUGUUUGUAAAUAAGGGACACUGAAGUGCAGGAUUGUCUGUAAUUAGACAUGCAGGCUCAUGAAUAUGCAUCCGCAAAGAAGGAAUCAGUCUGAAAUCAGCCAUGAUCUUGCCAUUAUCCUCCCCCAGGGAUUCUUCUUCUUCUUGCCACUUAAAGUCUGUUUGUCUCCUCGCAAACGUUUGCCUGAGUUCGUCACACGACUCCGAGUCGUCGCCUUCGGUGAACGGAUGACAAAAAUGCCCACAGGCGUCCACAGUUUCGGAAUGAAUCCCGGGCCAAAAUUUUACCCGCCUGUCUUCCAUAACUGCGUAUCCAGCGCAGGAUUGCGGCCAGCCUGAAGACUGUCAUGGAAAGCUUAGCGCGGAAGGCAAGGAAGAGCUUGAAUGGGAUGCCAGUCCGUGGUACGUGACACACACAAUGGGAAAUCAGGAUUCCUCAGUGUCCUUCAGUGCUUGUUUUUGGAUUGAGUACCUGGAAGAAACCUGUCAGCACAACAAACAACAAACUCAACACACAAACACACACUCACAGAGCCGGGGGGGGGGGGAUUUAACCAAGCAAUGCCGCCCACUGAGCCACCUUCCCCCUCCCCCCAGCCUAAAUUAACUGACCUAUUUGUGAAAUUUGCAUUAGGUACAUAUUAAGGUCGUAACCUAUAUCCAUCUGAUUUGGUUACAUAUUCAUUAGAACAGCUAUAAUAGGCCUCUUUCGAUGUCUGAUCGAGAUGAAGCGAGUCUCUGGCUGGGGAUCUAUGGCGUAAUCUGUUUGGCGAGACUGGCAAUGCCACGUGCUUAUGCCGUCGCUGCAUCGGGACUGGCCAGGGCAGUGAAGCAUGUUUCAUUUUGGUUGGGGGUGGGGGAGGGUGCCUGGGGCAGCCCCUCCCUGUAGUGAUGCCAUUAUGGGAGCCCAGGGAGAGGACCUUUGAAGGGGUACUCACCGCACGGUGGGGGGGAGGACAGUCAGUCCUUAAUGACCGCUGGACCCGGCGCGGCCGAACAGAGUGGCGUUUUCAGCACCGCCUCCUCACAUUUUCCGUGCCGGGGCCCGGCCUCAGGAGCCGGGGAGGGCUGAUUUGAAAACGCCCUUCAUCACGGGGCUGGGAAUUUUUUGGAAAACCACAGAACAUGAGGCCCUGGCGGUGCGGAGUCACUGAGGCCAUUCAUGGACGCAACGCUCGCGGUCUGCCGUUACGGUCCGCCUCAACGGACGAGCACCGGCCCGCUGGAAAGGCUCUCACGGAGCGCAGCUCACGGUUUCCAAAAAAAUAAACGAAGAAGCGAGCAAGGAAAAAAGUCCUUUUCCUCAAGGUUCACCUGAAGGUGUAUAGAUUCUUUCCGUGGUUCUUUGUGAGCGCAGCUCCACGAAUAACACGAUGAAGGGGGUCCUGUCUGACUGACCGAACAGGAAAAACGAAUUGCUUUCCACUUACUGGACACUUAACACGUGCUGUGAAUGUGCUCCUGUGUGCUGCCCUGUCAGUCACGGACAGCCUCAUAAAAAGAGAAAGCAAGGAGGAUCAAGAGCAGGGCAAUAAAUCUGCUCACGUUUCUGCAGAGACGCUGAAGGCCGACCUCUGUUACCGACUAAUGCUGAUCUUCACGGGCUUUGGGUCCCGGCCAGGACCAGCUGUCGUCUUUCAUAUCUGGCACAUUGGUCGUAAGUUAUUGCUGGUAUUCGUGGCUGGAUGUCUUUUAUAAUACACAGCUUUUAUUUGUGCUGAUACUGACGGGAUGUCGGCCAAGUGCGGUGGACGAGGAGGUCGGCGGAAACAACCUGCGCGGUGGAAGGUUUCACACGCAACCAGAGGCUGCUCGCAUGUUCAGCACCUGAGCACUAUCUGCAUGCCUGCGUAGAAAUGCAUUACUCUGCAUUCAGAUGGAAACACCAUGCGAACCAGACCACGCGACUUAUCAAUUUAUCAAGGGGGACGCCCCCCAGUCGGUAAAAUCUACCAAGAUGCCCCUCCCCCCCUAAAAAAAACCCUGGCUUUGUGUAACUGAUGAAAUUUGGACCUCGGAGAAAAUAAUUGAGAAUCGUUGACUAUCAUGAUUAGGAAUGCUCCUUACCUAAACUUUUAUUGGACGAUCAUGGUUGUCCAAUAGGAAUGUUCCUUACCUAAACUCUUAUUGGACAAUCAUGGUUGUCCAAUAGGAAUGCUCCUUACCUAAACUCUCAUUGGACGACUGUGACUUCUAGCUUUAGUUAACCCAGCUAACUGAGAAAUCCUGCUUUGUGGAACACCCCCCUGCUUCGUGGAACACCCCCCUGGGAUUGUACUAUAUGCAAAGUGAUGAGUGCCAGGAUAUUUAAAUCUAGGUCAUGAGGUUAGGUGGUUCAGUGUGAGGAGGCAUGCGACAUAGCAGUAAUGAUUAUGACAAUAACAACAAUAACAGCAACAACAGCAACAAGAGUAACAACAAUAAUAAAAAUAACAAUUAGCGCCCCUUUAGGGUACAGACCUAUAUAAUUGACCCAUGUCAUCUUCUGCCCUACUGAAGAAUGCUAUGUAUAUGUCAGGAUCAGACAUGCAAGACUCCUCAAGCACAUGCAGUCUGUAUGGACAUUUCUUCCCUUGUCUUGGUGUUCCAGAUCAGGAAGGUUAUUGUCAGAAUCCCUGCUUUUCAUUUUAAAUAUACAGUUAAGCAUCAAGAAAAGGCAGUCUAUGAUCUGCAUGAGUAUAAAAUCGCAACUAAAGGUAAUCAGAUGUGUCAAUUGAGGCGGUAAGGUAAUCAUCUGGCUCUGAUGGAGUCUUCCUGGGACGGGACUGUCCAUUACACACUCCCAUUUAACGCACACAGCCUGAAUCGGCAGGGGGGAUCUGCUCUGGAUGCUGGAUGGAGCCUUCGGACGGGUGUUCAGCUACGAAGACAACACCUUCAUCGGCUGACAACCACCAGCAAGACCCUCCCUUCUCCAGCACAGUGGUUUCCUCUCCUUUUAGGUCUACCUCUUCCUUGGCCAUGUGGAUGUACAAGUCUGUGCCACUUUGUUUCGUCACAGGUGAUACUUCAUACCCUCGGAGUAUAUUACUCUCCAAUUGAUGCUGUUACUAGGCAAGUGAGUUAUGGCACCACAGCUGCCUUUGUAUCAGAAGUAGGACAGUCGGUCCACGUGUGGACAGUCGGGCUUAAAACCUCAAAGAGAGACAGAGGAGUCCUUGGGUGAUGAGGAACUGCAGCCUUCAUUUGGGAAAUGGCUUGUUUUGUUUCCCAUAUUCAGACUGAUGCCAGCCACCAGUACAGGCCGUGGCCAGAAUGAUUGUGAGGAUUACUUCCUUAAGACUGAGGCCAAUGAGGUGUGAGUAAUUCCCAUUCAGCCAAUGAAAAGGCAGCGAGGAAUGCAGGCACGUCGUGUUUUAAGGAACUUCUUUCCCAUCGAGGCUGAAUUCCACACCAUUGGAGCCUAAGGGCCUGCUCUCGAUAAGGACAGCAUUGAAGACUCUCUCUCUCCCCAGACUGGCAGAUCUGCACACUACCAUCUGCAAGAUGCUUGGUCACCCUCCCCCCGUUGAGUAAAGUGUUUUGUUACACAGCAGAGAGUGGUCCACUAUCAGAGGAACAGAGCCGGGCCCAAGGCAAUGAAUGGAACCUUUUCUGCUGGUCCUGGUCCACAAUGGCCUCCUUUGAAAAGUCCUGAAAUUCAGGAGAACAGCUUUAUCCUCAGUGGUAUGUGGGAGUCUUUUUUCCUACAGUGGUAAAAAGGGAAGACGAUUUAGCUCAAUCUCUGGCUUUGCAACCAUGUCUAAUCCCCAAGGAUCACAAAUAAUCUGAAGAUUGCUUAUAAAGGACAAAAAUCACAUUUACUUGCUUGGCUGUUGCAUUUGUUCAAAUCCACAUAAAAAAAUGCAUCCAUUCAUACACAUUUUGUUAGAGCAGUGUUUUCCAAUCUGGUCCUCGGGGACCCACAGCAGUCUGUGUUUUCGCUCCCUCCCAGUUCCAAAUUGUAGGCUAUCUGGCGGGGAGCAAAAACAUGGAGCGACUGUAGGUCCCCGAAGACCAGAUUGGAAAACACUGUGUUAGAGUAUUACCUUCUUCAAGGGUAUCACAACAGGGCUCAUCUCGACGCCCAAAGAAGCAAAUUCUGCCCUACAUGCUACAGAUACUUCAUGUCCACACUACCUGCUGGCCCCGUUUUACUUCAUUGACAGAAAUGUGCUGCUCCUCAGUCCCAGUGCCAAACAUGCUAGAAAACAAGAGGAGAAAGGGCAGCCCAGGACACUUAUUGAGCUGUCUGAGUGGGGAAGAAAAAUCAUCUAGCAGCGAAGAGGGUGGGAAAAACACCGUGUGCCCGUCAGAUGGAGCAGAAAGGUCAGACCCCAUUGUGUGUGGGGGGACCAUCCCUGCUAAGAGCUAUGAGAGCUCGGCGAGGAGACGUCUGGCAGUCGGCACCUGCUUCCAUCUUGGCAGAUGAAAGAGGCCAGUCUUGGGAGGAAGUGCGCGAAUGGAUGCCAAUUUGCACCAAGGUCUAAGGAGGUGAGACUGAGGAGAGAUUUAAAUGCUGCACCGCCUGACUCUUAUUAAGAAGCCAAACAUUCGGGUGAUGUAACAUGUUGCCUCAGAUGUAGCAAUCCAGCCCACUGAAUAAAUACAGCUCCGGAAAAACCACACCUGGCCAUGUUCUGCGAUGCCUCUGUUCCUGGUUUCCUGUCCAUGACAUCCGCCCGUUUUCCUUCACCUGACUCCGGCCGUUUUCAAUUAUUUCCUGUCACCUCCUGUCUUUUCUCGUUCCCCAAAUCCGAGCUGCUUGGCCGAAGGAGGAAAUGGAGUCAAGUCCGCUGGCUCGGGAGCCCUGGGAAUAGCACCUGGAGGGAACGCACACACUGCACACACUGCAGGCACUUCCUCUCUGUUUCCUGGAUUUAAAUAGGAACAAUGGGUGAGGAGAAGUGACCUUAGCGGGCAAGACCCCGAGAUUGCGCGCAAAAGGCUGCAUUUCUGAUGUAACUUGUUCGGCUGAUUUAUUAAAGAGAGCCCGAAAUUUGCAAAUAUUAAUGCUGUCUGUGGUCAGAUUUCUCUGGAAAUCAGCCACGUAGGAUCAGCUCUGCCAUUUUGGCUCUGGGUUUGGAGAAGUCGCAUGGGAAUAAUAAUAGGAAGCUGCUUUAACAGAUGAAUAAGCGGCCGGCAAUGCGGGCGGAGGUGUUCAGUUUGGAAUACGAUGUACAUAAUCUGUAUGUUUGAGAUCCAUCAGUGCCAAAGAGCAUUUACAUUAUCUGCAGUGCCUCAUUGGUGAUGCUGUGUGUGAUAUCUGAGGUUCAAGAAGUAGAUUGGGGGGGGGGGCAGUUAGGGAUCACGAUGUAGGUCAUUAAUGCGGAGCGACUCCUGUUCAGUAAAGUGUGGGAUUUUCAUUUGUUUGGCAUUGUCCUUCUGCAUUUCUCACUGUCAGUUACAUUUGGGUGGACGGCUUGGUGUCUCUCUUGGCAGCACGGUGGAAUCCCUCCUCCAGGGUCAUGGGGUCCUGGUCACAAAUCUGCCUGUGUGGAGUUUGCACGUCCUGACCAUGUUUGUCUGGGUUUUCUCCUGGCACUCCAGUGUCCUCUCAAAGUCAUGCAGCUUAAACGUGCUCUAUAAUGGCCCAUGUCUGUACUCAAUAGACGAUUACUAAAAAUGGUCUCUUUGUGAGUUCUGACAAGUGUUUUUCUCACCGAAUUCAAGAACUAACUAACCUUUGUGGUAGGAAAGCGAGGAUCUCAGCCCCAAUAUGGGGUGUCCUACUCCAGGACAACAUACUGGGGGGGGGGAGGGCACCCUCUUCACAGUGCAGCUAAAAACAUCACGUAGACGUUCCCCAUCCACUCACACAGUCAUCUCAGCUGUUGUGGAAGAUCUGGGAGUCUCCCGCAAAUUGACAGCAGGGGCCUGUAUCACGAGCCAGGAUUUUGCUCUUAGUCGGAUAACUUGUCGGAUUUAAGGUAGUCUGGGAUAACGUAAGGGGACAAAGAUGAAUACCAUUUAAACUGAAAGUUGCUAAUGAUGCAGAAUGUCCUGCUGUUCCGCUAUAUAGCUGCGGUAAAAUUAGCUAGCAAGUUUUAGUCCUAUUACCCUGUCCCACUGGGUCGACAAAUUUAAUUUUACCACCAGCACCCCCCGACCCCCCCCAAAUCACACAAGCCAGAUACUACAGUUUACGGUAUUUUAAAAAGCAAUGCCGUUCCGGAAUUUUCCAAUAAAAUUUCCCGGGGGGUGGGGGGUUAUCAUAAUACCACCCAAACCAAGCCUGUGCCCCCGCAGUUGUCCCUCAUCCUCCUCCAUGACAUCAGUGUGCCUCAGGUGGGACGACUGCUCACAAGAUGUACUGGGGAGAUGAUUUUCUACAGAUAAAACUUCCCCUAAUCCCUGCUGGGGUGGUGCUUAUCUAUGCGAUGCGGCUGUGAUGUGGGUUUUAAGCUGCUCUUCGCCGGGGAAAUCCGCAGUCUGCCCUACACGUUUCUGAAUACACCAUGAACAGGAGGAAGACACCAGCGGUCUAUCAUUAUAAGCCGUAAUUUAACAGUGCUACCCAGCAUUAAUGUUUGAAAAAGGUAAUUAAUUAGAAAAUGUCAAUUAAAAACUGAGCAAAGCUAAGUUCCUCAGUAUAUAUGUUGGUAGUUUAACUCAGUGUUUCCCAGCCCGGUCCCCAGACAUCCCACAUUUUUGCUCCCUCCCAGGGUCUGGUGUGAUGGGAGCUGGGGGGGGGAGCAAAAAUGUGGACUGUCUGGGGUCCCCAAGGACCGGGCUGGGAAACACUGGUGUAACUAAUCGGCUGAGAAGUAACACUCCUUAGUGUAUAUGCGUGUUCUCCAUGAGUCAGAUUGUUUUCCAAAGGCUGCAGUUAGGCUAAUUGGCUUCACUAAUCUGCCCAUAGACUGUGUGUCUGUCUUUCUGUCUGUCCAGCGUGAAGUUCAGCCUUCUGCCCUAUGCUGCCCAACCCUGGCCAGAAUGGGCAGUUAGAAGAUUGAUGUUUAUUAAGGAGAACUGAAUGUGAAAUAAAUUGGAUUUCACCUUGUACUGAUCUGCCCAGAAUUUUAAAUAAACCUCUGUCCUUCUUA